rnacentral:rRNA from 1 species
CCCGUGUUUACUGUACCUUAGUUGCUUCGGCGGGCCCGCCAUUCGUGGCCGCCGGGGGCUCUCAGCCCCGGGCCCGCGCCCGCCGGAGACACCACGAACUCUGUCUGAUCUAGUGAAGUCUGAGUUGAUUGUAUCGCAAUCAGUUAAAACUUUCAACAAUGGAUCUCUUGGUUCCGGCAUCGAUGAAGAACGCAGCGAAAUGCGAUAACUAGUGUGAAUUGCAGAAUUCCGUGAAUCAUCGAGUCUUUGAACGCACAUUGCGCCCCCUGGUAUUCCGGGGGGCAUGCCUGUCCGAGCGUCAUUGCUGCCCAUCAAGCACGGCUUGUGUGUUGGGUCGUCGUCCCCUCUCCGGGGGGGACGGGCCCCAAAGGCAGCGGCGGCACCGCGUCCGAUCCUCGAGCGUAUGGGGCUUUGUCACCCGCUCUGUAGGCCCGGCCGGCGCUUGCCGAACGCAAAUCAAUCUUUUUCCAGGUUGACCUCGGAUCAGGUAGGGAUACCCGCUGAACUUAAGCAUAUCAAUAAGCGGAGGAAAAGAAACCAACCGGGAUUGCCUCAGUAACGGCGAGUGAAGCGGCAAGAGCUCAAAUUUGAAAGCUGGCUCCUUCGGGGUCCGCAUUGUAAUUUGCAGAGGAUGCUUCGGGUGCGGCCCCUGUCUAAGUGCCCUGGAACGGGCCGUCAGAGAGGGUGAGAAUCCCGUCUGGGAUGGGGUGUCCGCGCCCGUGUGAAGCUCCUUCGACGAGUCGAGUUGUUUGGGAACGCAUCUCUAAAUGGGUGGAAAAUUUCAUCUAAAGCUAAAUACCGG